rnacentral:tRNA from 1 species
CCGGGCGUAGCUCAGCUUGGUAGAGCGCUAGCUUUGGGAGCUAGAUGCCGCAGGUUCGAAUCCUGUCGCCCGGACCA